ensembl:lncRNA
CUUGAGAGGUGAAGUGACGAAUCAGAGCAGGACGAAUCGAGGGUGAAGAGCAGACCUACAGAAGAGAGUUACUGAUGGUCAAAGGUCACUGUGGGGUCAAAGGGCAGACAGGUGAGAGCAGAUGACCAGUCAAAGCAGGGCAGUUCAACGCCGUGACGACAGAUCGGACAGAGAACGACUGGAUGAGAGGAGAAGACCACGCCCCUGACCCCACCCCCGUGUUGACCAGGCCCCGCCCCUUCAGUCAGACAGCGGCCGCAUAGAGUGUGAGAGCAGGGCAGAAUCAGAGCAACGUCAAAACCACGGCCACAUAACGGACAGACGGAGGGAGAGACACCCGUCUCCUCGUCUGUGUGUUCACUCGCAGCCAGGUUCCCUCCGAGAUCCCAGAAUUCCCUCAUUUCAUGAUAAAAGACCACACGGAUCCUAUAAUCCUUCAUGUGCUGCUGCUGGCUUGAUGUAGAAGGAAACAGAGGAGAAGUCGAGGCUGAGAACGAGCGAGAGACAGACAGAGAGAGCCGCUUCCUUUAUUAGCCUCUCCGUUGCUUGUGGUUGCCAUGGUGACGAGCCCAGCACCCCAUAUACAAAGGGACAGAGACACACUUAAAGAGAGAUGCACGCACACAGCGUGUUUAUUCAUGAUUUAGCAUGAUAACAAUAGCUUGCCAAUUUAAAUUAUUUUAAUAUUUUAUAAUAAUGCUUAUAAUAAUAAUUAAUAUUCAAUUAUAAUAAUUAGCAAUUUUAAUAUUAUAAGAAAUUAUUUUAUAAAAAAUAAAUAAUGGUAAUUUACUGUAAAAUGGUACA